AGUGAACGCUGGCGGUAGGCCUAACACAUGCAAGUCGAACGGCAGCACAGUAAGAGCUUGCUCUUACGGGUGGCGAGUGGCGGACGGGUGAGGAAUACAUCGGAAUCUACUUUUUCGCGGGGGAUAACGUAGGGAAACUUACGCUAAUACCGCAUACGACCUACGGGUGAAAGCAGGGGAUCUUCGGACCUUGCGCGAUUGAAUGAGCCGAUGUCGGAUUAGCUAGUUGGCGGGGUAAAGGCCCACCAAGGCGACGAUCCGUAGCUGGUCUGAGAGGAUGAUCAGCCACACUGGAACUGAGACACGGUCCAGACUCCUACGGGAGGCAGCAGUGGGGAAUAUUGGACAAUGGGCGCAAGCCUGAUCCAGCCAUACCGCGUGGGUGAAGAAGGCCUUCGGGUUGUAAAGCCCUUUUGUUGGGAAAGAAAAGCAGCAGGUUAAUACCCCGCUGCUCUGACGGUACCCAAAGAAUAAGCACCGGCUAACUUCGUG
rnacentral:rRNA from 1 species